CAGAUUUGGUCCUAGUCUUUUUAUUGACUACUCUGUAUGAUACAUGCAGCAAAGCAUACUGUGAGUAAAUUUAGUAGUCUCUUAG
rnacentral:rRNA from 1 species